rnacentral:rRNA from 1 species
GGACUACACGGGUUUCUAAUCCUGUUUGCUCCCCUAGCUUUAGCAGCUCAGCGUCAGUGAUGGUCCAGGUGCCUGCUUUCGCCAUAGGUAUUCCUCCCGAUCUCUACGCAUUUCACCGCUACACCGGGAAUUCCAGCACCCUCUACCACACUCUAGCCGGACAGUUUCCGUUGACCUCUCCCAGUUAAGCCAGGAGCUUUCACAACAGACUUAUCCAACCGCCUACCUGCGCUUUACGCCUAGUGAUUCCGAGUAACGCUUGCCACCUACGUAUUACCGCGGCUGCUGGCAC